AUUAAACGCUGGCGGCAUGCCUUACACAUGCAAGUCGAACGGCAGCACGGGGGCAACCCUGGUGGCGAGUGGCGGACGGGUGAGUAAAGCAUCGGAACGUAUCCUGGAGUGGGGGAUAACGUAGCGAAAGUUACGCUAAUACCGCAUAUUCUGUGAGCAGGAAAGCAGGGGAUCGCAAGACCUUGCGCUCUGGGAGCGGCCGAUGUCGGAUUAGCUAGUUGGUGGGGUAAAGGCCUACCAAGGCGACGAUCCGUAGCGGGUCUGAGAGGAUGAUCCGCCACACUGGGACUGAGACACGGCCCAGACUCCUACGGGGAGCAGCAGGUGGGGUAAUUUUGGACAAUGGGGCGGAAGCCUGAUCCAGCCAUGCCGCGUGAGUGAAGAAGGCCUGG
rnacentral:rRNA from 1 species